UACAGAGGUGGCAAGCGUUGUUCGGAAUUACUGGGCGUAAAGGGCGCGUAGGCGGCCCACUAAGUCAGACGUGAAAUCCCCCGGCUUAACCUGGGAACUGCGUCUGAUACUGGAGGGCUUGAGUAUGGGAGAGGGAUGUAGAAUUCCAGGUGUAGCGGUGAAAUGCGUAGAUAUUGGGAGGAACACCAGUGGCGAAGGCGGCUCACUGGACCGGAACUGACGCUGAGGCGCGAAAGCGUGGGGAGCAAACAGG
rnacentral:rRNA from 1 species